AGCUUUGCGUAGUGGCAGUAUCAUAACCAAUGAGGUUAAUCUGAGGUGUGAUUUUUGCUAGUUGAAAACUUUUCCCAAUACCCCGCCAUGACAACUUGAAAUAUAGUUGGCAUUGGCAAUUUUUGAUAGUCUCCUGUAAGA